rnacentral:lncRNA from 1 species
AUCCCUAGUACCACCAAAAAAAAAAAAAAAUCAGUGGUUGAGAUUGUUAAUUCAUUCAACCAAUGGUUUGUUCUGAGCUGAAAAUCCUGGUAAAUAAUAGUGGCAUGCCUGCUGUAGCAGUACUCGUAGACCGCUGAUGGCAGCCAGCUAUAAAUGCACACAUGAGUAUAAAAUAGGAAGUAGGGUGUGAUUUUCCUACGGUAGACAGGGGGACGUCUCUAAGAAGGUGACAAAUUGAGUAAAAGUCUAAGGGAGGUGAGGGAAGAAGCCACAUGGAUAUCUGCAGAAGUGGUCCUGGCCAGAGUGACAGCUGGUGUGAAGGCCCCGAGCCUUGCGUGUUCACCAGUGCGGAUGCCCACCUGGUGGACCCAGGUGAGUGAGAGGGUGGGGCCUCGCCUUGGGGCCACGGGAGCAGAGUAGGAACGCGUGUGGGGUCUAAGUGGGGAUGGGAGCCUGGAAGCCUAUCCGCUCUGGCCUGAGUCUAGGCAGUGAAGCGUGAGAAGCGCUGCAAUGGUGAGGACUUGAGAGGUUUGAGAUCUGGCCUGAUGCAGGGAACAGACCAAGAGGAGCUGCCCCAGGGAGCCCUUUACUGCAGAGGGACAGUUGUUAGGAGUAGGUUCUAUUUGUCUCUCCAGGCCAACGAGGGCGUGCCCAUCUCUAUGGGGGACAGCAUCUUCGUGGGAGGUAAGGGCUUGGGGCUGCUGCGGGUGGGCCAAGACCCUUCUCUCCAAACCUGCUGGCAGUGAAGGGUAUCCUCGUGCGUUCCAGAUGCAGCAGGCCGCCCAGCCAACUGGGCCCCUGGCCGUAAGAAGAAAGACUUUUCCUGCGCUGACCGAUUGGUGAGCAGGUGACCGAUUGGGGAUCGGUCACCAAUGGUGAGCCCCGCACCCCGCCCUCGAUCUCUGCCUCACCUCUGCCUUUGCCCCAGUUUGCGCUCAACCUUGGCCUGCCCUUCGCCACCCCGGAGGAGUUCUUCCUUAAGCAGCCCACAGCAGCCUUUGUCCUCCCAGCAUUUGACCCGGUGAGGCCCGAGGGGUGGAAGGCAGGGAACAAGCAGGGGAAUGAGGGUCUCAACUUCUUGUUCCACCCCUCCUAGAGGACUGUCUCCUGCUCAGGGCCUCUCUGCCUCCCAGAGUCCAGCUCCCUCCUGAGCUCUGACCCAGAGGUGGUUGUCGCCGUGGGAUUCCCUGGGGGUGAGAUAUCCUGAUCCCCAUCUCUGGGUGCUGUAAGUGUCCUUCUGGGUCCUGGGUAUCCACUGAUAGUGAUUUUGUGCCUCUCAGCUGGGAAGUCCACCUUCCUCAAGAAACAUCUCGUGUCAGCUGGGUACGUCCACGUGAACAGGGUAAGAGGCUGCCGCGCCCCAUCCCACUGGUUCAUUCCCUGGCUGCCCCAACCGGGCCUUCAGGGCUGCCGCCCAGCACCCCUGCCUCCCCCUGCAGUUCUGAUUUGUUGCCCUGCCCCCACCAGGACACCCCUUCAUCUUCUAUUCCCUAUUGGGCAAUUCCUGCUUGUGACCUGCUCUCCUCUGUCCCCAGGAUACAAUAGGCUCCUGGCAGCGCUGUGUGAGCACCUGUGAGGCAGCUCUGAAGCAGAGGAAACGCGUGGUGAUCGACAACACAAAUCCAGACAUCCCAACCAGGGCCAGGUACUUGGCCCCAUGGGAGGUCUCUAGUAGGGCUGGCAAGGGCCUGGUGACAGCGCUUUCCUGGCCUCAACAGGUAUGUCCAGUGUGCCAGGGAUGCAGGUGUUCCCUGCCGUUGUUUCCUCUUCACUGCCACAUUGGAGCAGGCUCGCCACAACAACCGGGUGAGCCCCUGCCCUCCCCCUCCCUCCUGCCCUGCCCUGCCCCUCCCUCCCCGAUGGCCUCACUCUGAACCAUCCCCUAACAGUUCCGGGAGAUGACUGGCUCCUCUCACACACCAGUGUCAGAUGUCGUCAUAUUCGGCUACAGGUACCUCUAGUUAGUAGGCUGUGGGCUGGUAGGGCCUGGCCUCUCCUUACCACCUUCUCUGCCACCAGGAAACAGUUCGAAGCUCCUACGGUGGCGGAAGGCUUCUCUGCAAUCCUGGAGAUCCCAUUCCAGCUGCAGCUAGAGCCGCAACUAGAGCGACUCUACCGGCAGUUCUCUGAGGGCUGAGUUGCCCAGCCCCAUGCUCCCCUCCCUGACCUGGCAAUAAAUGCUAUUUUUCUCCAAGCUUGGCCAGCAUUUUGCUGGGAGGAAGGGUGGUCGUCUUGGAGGUGCGUCACCAGGCCUAGGCCAACCCCACGCCCCCACACACACACGCGCGCGCGCGCACACUUUUCUACAUUUUCAGGUUAACAGAAAAGGAGGGACCUGGACUGGCUCAGGCUGCUCCUCUGCACAUCUCAUGUUCUACACCAAACCACUCCACCCACCUUGGGCUGUGGAAAGGUGUCACUAGGAGGUUGUCAUGAGCAGGUCAAACAAGAGACUGAGAUGAGACAUGGGAAUGUAGGACAUUGAAUGGGCCCCUAUAAGCUAGCCAGAGCUUGGCUCAAGAUGGCCCAUGAGGGCACAGUGAUUGCAAGCUUGCCUAAUCAUGUGUGAGGCCCUGCAUUCAACUCCCAGUACUGCAUGAGGACAAAAUAUCCAGGGCUCAGGUUCUAUUGCAUUGGACUUGAACGCAGGGGAUGUGGGUCUUGGACCUGCCUAUGGAUCCCCCCUCCAGCUACAGGAGGCAAAAACGCCCCUGACCUAUGCUUUCUUACAGGUAAGUCCAGGGGAAAGAAACCAUGAGCACUACCUGCAAGGUCCUGGCACCAGGUACUGGAAACAGAGAACCAACACACGGCUUCAUGCUUCUGACACAAAGGCCCCAGGAGGUGAGGCCACC